AGCCUUCUGUAUCCGUGCUGAGAUUUCGUCACACACUCAAACCAUAAUGGCUGAUAAGACUUCCAAGAUAAGUGAAGCG
rnacentral:pre_miRNA from 1 species